UACGUAGGCAGCGAGCGUUGUUCGGAAUUACUGGGCGUAAAGAGUGUGUAGGCGGUGCUCUAAGUUCGGUGUGAAAUCUCCUGGCUCAACUGGGAGGGUGCGCCGGAAACUGGAGUGCUUGAGCGUGGGAGAGGAAAGCGGAGUUCCUGGUGUAGCGGUGAAAUGCGCAGAUAUCAGGAGGAACACCGGUGGCGGAAGGCGGCACUCUGGGCCGGUACUGACGCUGGAGGAAGCGAAAGCGUGGGGAGCAAACAGG
rnacentral:rRNA from 1 species